rnacentral:rRNA from 1 species
GGGUUAAGUCCCGCAACGAGCGCAACCCUUGAUCUUAGUUGCCAGCAUUAAGUUGGGCACUCUAAGGUGACUGCCGGUGACAAACCGGAGGAAGGUGGGGAUGACGUCAAAUCAUCAUGCCCCUUAUGACCUGGGCUACACACGUGCUACAAUGGAUGGUACAAAGGGCUGCAAGACCGCGAGGUCAAGCCAAUCCCAUAAAACCAUUCUCAGUUCGGAUUGUAGGCUGCAACUCGCCUACAUGAAGCUGGAAUCGCUAGUAAUCGCGGAUCAGCAUGCCGCGGUGAAU